UUAUUUUGAAUGUAAAUUUUUGCUUAUAUUAUUAAUAGUUUUGAUCUUUAAAGUAAAAGAAUUUGACGGUAAUUAUAUCUUUUCAGAGGAACCUGUCCUGUAAUUGAUAAUCCACGUUAAAUUUUACCUUAAUUUUUAGUUUGUAUAUCUCUGUUUAUAUGAAUGUUUUAUUAGAAUUAUUUUCUUUGAUUUAGUUUUAUGAUAUUUAAAUUUAUAUCAGGUCAAGGUGCAGCUUAUAUUAAGGUCAGAGAUGGGUUACAUUAAUUUGUUGAAUUUUGGAUUUAUUAUAAAUUUACUUUUAUAUGUUUAAUGAAAUAGGAUUUGAUUGUAACAUUUAUUAUAUUUUAAUUGUGAUAAUUUGCUCUUUAUUAAGUACACAUCGCCCGUCGCUCUCGUUAUUAAGAUGAGAUAAGUCGUAACAAAGUAGGCCUAUCGGAAGAUGGGCCUGGAAUUAUUACAAAUCAUGCCUAGGGUUAUAUUAUUAUUUACAUUAAUAAUUUAUUUGUGCAAUUCAAAUUGGUUUGAUAUUAUAUUAAUCUUAAAUUGUUAUUAUUAUUUUUUAUUUAAUUUUAAAAGAAUUAACUUUAUUAUCUAGUAAUUUUUAUUGAAUUUAUUAAUUAUAGUUUUUAUAGUUUAUAUUAUCUGUAAGGUGAUGUUUUAUUUUAUUUUGAAAGUAAAUUUUUAUUGUUUGUACCUUUUGUAUCAGGGUUUAUUAAUUUACAAUAUUUAUUUAAUAUUUUUCCCGAAACUGCAAGGGAUAUCAUUAUAUUGUUAUUUAUUGUUUCAUAAAUAUUAAUAAAUACAUGAUAGGGAAUAUAUUUUAUUCAAUUGUAGAUAUCUGGUUACUUGAUAAUUGAAUUUAAUUCAGGUUCAUUAAUUGUUAAGUAUAAAAUUUUAUUUAUUUUAAUUAUUUAUGUUCUAAAGUUAUAGGGGAUAAGCUCUUUAUCUUUAAUUAUAGUUAUUAUGUAAUUUUUAUCAAAUUUUGUAGGAUUAAUAAUGUUCUUCAUGGAAAUAUUUUGUUAUUAUUAUUUUUGUUAAAUAUCUAUUUAUUUUUUGUUACUUAAUAUUUUAUCAAGUUUUUUGAUUUAUCUUAUUAUUUGAAGUUAUAAUGGUAAAAUUAGUAAUUUUUUUAUAUUAUUUAUAGUAAUUCGGCAAAUUUGAUUCUCACCUGUUUAUCAAAAACAUGUCCUGUAUGUUUUGUUUUAUUUCAGGUCUGGCCUGGUCAAUGAUUAAUAUUUAAUUUAAUUAAAUAGCCGCAGUAUUUUGACUGUGCAAAGGUAGCAUAAUCAUUUGUCUUUUAAUUGAAGGCUUGUAUGAAUGGUUUAAUGAAGUUUCAGCUUUCUUUAUUUAAUUUUUAUGAAUUUAACUUUUUGGUUAAAAGGCCAAAAUUUAUUUAUGGGACGAGAAGACCCUAUAGAAAUUUAUAUUCUUUUGAUUAUUCAAUUUUUUGAUAUUAAUUUAGUUUUGUAUUUCAUAAGAGUAUUUUGUUGGGGCGACAUAGAGAUUUAUUUAACUCUUUAUUUUUAUUUAUUUAUUAAUUUAUAUAAUUUAUUUUGAUCCUUUAUUAUGGAUAAUAAGAUUAAUUUACCUUAGGGAUAACAGCGUAAUUUUUUUGGAGAGUUCAUAUCGAUGAAGAAGU
rnacentral:rRNA from 1 species